CAGAAACGGGUGUGCGGAUUUUCGUGCAAAUUUCAACGAAUUGUCUGCAUCUUUUAUGGCGAGGAGUCUGCAGUAGAGCAGUCGACUUCGUUAACGGUGAGCUUGAGAAUCUAAUCGGACACGGAACUCUAUUUGCCCUUAGUGUCAUUGUUGCUAUUGCUACCAACCACGUUUAGUCCCGCAUCAGUCUCUCCUUCGAGAUCUCAGGUACCGUGGUUACCCCCAUCUCUCUUUCCACCCUCUUCGCUUACGUGGAUCUAAACACGAUGAAGAUCUUCGGCAUGAACGUGUGCCCCUACAUGCUGGCCUUCGCCGCAGUCCUUCCCUUCGCUGUCUUCUUCUCCGCCAAGUUUUUCCUGCCUUGGUGCCACCAUCCACCAACGUACGACAUGCGAGACGCAUACUAGUCGUGAGUCCUGGAGUCUUGGGUGUCAUCCGGUCGUCGAAAUAGCGGGUGUGUUAUGGCCUCUCCAGUCGCCAGCCGGUCCACUCAGAGACGGCGUUCACACUCCACUUUGCACCAUACCUACUCGCACAGUAAUGAGUUUUUACCGCUUCGAUCCUGCGGUAAUUUUUCAAUACACCCGAAUCCAUAUUCAUACUUCAUUUUUGUUAAUGGGCGGUCAUAAUUUAUUUUACGUAAUGUAAACCGUUCUUUGGUAAAUUAUAGUCCUGGUUCCGUCUCAAAUCCAUUGUAAUGAGCCACAUAAACGAAUAAUCUUUCAAUUAAA